rnacentral:rRNA from 1 species
UACCAGACUCCUACGGGAGGCAGCAGUGAGGAAUAUUGGUCAAUGGGCUUACGCCUGAACCAGCCAAGUCGCGUGAGGGAAGACUGCCCUAUGGGUUGUAAACCUCUUUUGUCAGGGAGCAAUUGGCGCUACGUGUAGCGUUAUCGAGAGUACCUGAAGAAAAAGCAUCGGCUAACUCCGUGCCAGCAGCCGCGGUAAUACGGAGGAUGCGAGCGUUAUCCGGAUUUAUUGGGUUUAAAGGGUGCGUAGGCGGACGCUUAAGUAAGCGGUAAAAUUGCGGGGCUCAACCUCGUCGAGCCGUUGAAACUGGGUGCCUUGAGUGGGCGAGAAGUACGCGGAAUGCGUGGUGUAGCGGUGAAAUGCAUAGAUAUCACGCAGAACUCCGAUUGCGAAGGCAGCGCACCGGCGCCCUACUGACGCUCAGGCACGAAAGCGUGGGUAUCGAACAGGAUUAGAUACCCCGGUAUC